rnacentral:rRNA from 1 species
CACGUAGGGCGCAAGCGUUGUCCGGAAUUAUUGGGCGUAAAGAGCUCGUAGGCGGUCUGUUGCGUCCGCUGUGAAAACUCGGGGCUUAACCCCGAGCCUGCAGUGGAUACGGGCAGACUAGAGGUAGGUAGGGGAGAAUGGAAUUCCCGGUGUAGCGGUGAAAUGCGCAGAUAUCGGGAGGAACACCGGUGGCGAAGGCGGUUCUCUGGGCCUAACCUGACGCUGAGGAGCGAAAGCGUGGGGAGCGAACAGG